rnacentral:lncRNA from 1 species
UGGCAGCAAUCCUUUCUUUCAGCUGGAGUGCUCCUCAGGAGCCAGCCCCACCCUUAGAAAAGAUGUUUUCCAUGAGGAUCGUCUGCCUGGUCCUAAGUGUGGUGGGCACAGCAUGACUGCAGAUAGUGGUGAAGGUGACUUUCUAGCUGAAGGAGGAGGCGUGCGUGGCCCAAGGGUUGUGGAAAGACAUCAAUCUGCCUGCAAAGAUUCAGACUGGCCCUUCUGCUCUGAUGAAGACUGAACUACAAAUGCCCUUCUGGCUGCAGGAUGAAAGGGUUGAUUGAUGAAGUCAAUCAAGAUUUUACAAACAGAAUAAAUAAGCUCAAAAAUUCACUAUUUGAAUAUCAGAAGAACAAUAAGGAUUCUCAUUCGUUGACCACUAAUAUAAUGGAAAUUUUGAGAGGCGAUUUUUCCUCAGCCAAUACCGUGAUAAUACCUACAACCGAGUGUCAGAGGAUCUGAGAAGCAGAAUUGAAGUCCUGAAGCGCAAAGUCAUAGAAAAAGUACAGCAUAUCCAGCUUCUGCAGAAAAAUGUUAGAGCUCAGUUGGUUGAUAUGAAACGACUGGAGUGGACAUUGAUAUUAAGAUCCGAUCUUGUCGAGGGUCAUGCAGUAGGGCUUUAGCUCGUGAAGUAGAUCUGAAGGACUAUGAAGAUCAGCAGAAGCAACUUGAACAGGUCAUUGCCAAAGACUUACUUCCCUCUAGAGAUAGGCAACACUUACCACUGAUAAAAAUGAAACCAGUUCCAGACUUGGUUCCCGGAAAUUUUAAGAGCCAGCUUCAGAAGGUACCCCCAGAGUGGAAGGCA